rnacentral:rRNA from 1 species
GUCUAUGGCCAUGCUGCCCUGAACAAGCCUGAUCCCAUCUGAUCUCAGGAGCUAAGCAGGGUCGAGUCUGGUUAGUACUUGGAUGGGAGACCACCUAGGAAGACCAGAUGCUGUAGGCG